rnacentral:rRNA from 1 species
GACGAACGCUGGCGGCGUGCUUAACACAUGCAAGUCGAACGGAAAGGCCCUGCUUUUGUGGGGUGCUCGAGUGGCGAACGGGUGAGUAACACGUGAGUAACCUGCCCUUGACUUUGGGAUAACUUCAGGAAACUGGGGCUAAUACCGGAUAGGAGCUCCUGCUGCAUGGUGGGGGUUGGAAAGUUUCGGCGGUUGGGGAUGGACUCGCGGCUUAUCAGCUUGUUGGUGGGGUAGUGGCUUACCAAGGGUUUGACGGGUAGCCGGCCUGAGAGGGUGACCGGCCACAUUGGGACUGAGAUAGGGCCCAGACUCCUACGGGAGGCAGCAGUGGGGAAUAUUGCACAAUGGGCGGAAGCCUGAUGCAGCAGCGCCGCGUGCGGGAUGACGGCCUGCGGGUUGUAAACCACUUUCGCCUGUGACGAAGCGUGAGUGACGGUAAUGGGUAAAGAAGCACCGGCUAACUACGUG